GCGGAGGGCCGGAUGGCCGCUGGUGGCAGGGUAACCGGUCACGAGAGGAAAGUCCGGACUCCACAAGGCAAGGGUGCCGGGUAACGCCCGGCGGGGGCAACCCCAGGGAAAGCGCCACAGAAAACAGACCGCCUCGUGGCCCGUUGGUUCGCCGAUGGGAUCCCCGUCGGGGUAAGGGUGAAACGGUGGGGUAAGAGCCCACCGCGGGUCUGGCAACAGAACCGGCACGGCAAGCCCCACCCGGAGCAAUGCCGAAUAGGGGCUUCACGCGGCGUGUCCGCAGGGUCUGCCUUGACCCAGAAGCCCGGGUUGGCAGCUAGAGGUGCGUCGGUAACAGCGCGCCUAGAUGAAUGGUCAUCUCGGAUGGAUCUCCAUCUAUGACAGAAUCCGGCUUAUAGGCCCUCCGCGCGU
rfam:Thalassobius mediterraneus strain CECT 8383 genome assembly, contig: 0018